GCGUGCUCGAUCGGAGAAGCCGGGGUAUGACGGGGUGGGCCGGUGGUGGUCGGAAUAUGUGGGCGUCAAGGGGGAGGAGGCUGCCCGUGAAGUCGGACGGGAAAGCCGCCGGGUCACAUGGGGGACUGCGUCCGAUUCUGUUCGGCUCGAGUCCUGGAGAGGGUAGUGGAAUUGCCAGUGUAGCGGGGAAAUGCGUAGAGACUGGGAGGAACAUCGGUGGCGAAGGCGGCUACCUGGACAGGUACUGACGCUGAGGCGCGAAAGCUAGGGGAGCAAACAGGAUUAGAUACCCUAGUAGUC
rnacentral:rRNA from 1 species